GAUUGUGUACAAAAUAUUCACAGCAAAGCAACGGUAAGCUUGCUCUAUCCUUCAAUAAAUCUUUGCAUACUUUAUUUGGGUUGCCAUCAUAUGUUUAUCCUUAUGUAUCCUAUUGAAAUUGAAUAGAUCAAACAGAGACCCAGUUACAACAGAGAUAAGAAAAUUGAGUAGUCAAUAUAGCAGCUGCAGUGUGAACUUCUGUUUUCCCGUAGUAACUUCAGAAAAAAGUCUCUCUACCUGGGUUAAGAAAUUCAGAACUUUACAGUGAGCAGGAGAAUGUGGACCUUAUAAGGUCUAUACAUGCAAGAUUCAGGAAUUGGAAACGGAAGUAACAUGGCAGAAGUUCUCCACUGGGCUCAAGGGGAUGAAUCGGUUAACUACAGAGAGCUUCAACAUGGUGGCAACCUGGUGAAGAAAUGAGAGGAAGUGGAAGGAUAUAAGGUAGCUUCUGCAGAAUCCAAUAUACUUGGAGUCCACAUCCAAGAUCAAAGCAUCUAGCUCUGUUCACUCAGGUUCUCAGGAGUAUCUCACAAAUGAGUCAUCAUAGGUGAGAGAUGUCUCAUCCAGCCGGACGAUAUUAUUGACCAUUUAAUAGCAGCUGACCAACAGUUUUGGUAAUUAGAGAAGAAGACAAUUCCACAGAAGCAAAGCCAGUGCAUUGGUUGGGAGCUAAAUUAGCAGGCAUGCUACCUAUACUAAAUACAUGUUGUGCUUCAUCUCCCUUCUGUCCUUCUAUGUAUUGAACUCAUUGGCAUAUGAUGUAACCUGUUAAUAUUCUUAAUGAAAUCACCCAUAAUGGGCAUUUUUCUUAAAUAAAAGAUUACAGUAUACCAUGACUAAGGCUUCAUACAGGAUUGUGUCUCCCUUGGUGUUAUUUGCAACAGCUGAGUAGCUCCGGAGAGUGUCAACGUAUGUGCCCAAACUCAGUAGAACAAGCACUAACGAUAGCAGAACUUGAAAAAUCGAGGAGAUGGCUGCUCUCACCAUAUAGUUCAAAGGUUCACUAUCCAAUGAUGCUAUUUAUGUUUAGGGUACUUAUUGUAUAACUGGUUAUAACAGAUAUGUUAUUUUAUGAUGACAUAUCUUUAGGAAAGAACAUAUUCAAAUAGAGAAAUUUUGCUGUGUUAGAUUUUUAUUAUUACCAAGUAUACGAGUUUGCUCUAUCUGGUUGUCUCAAAGUAUAACAGUUAUACGAGAAUAUGAUAAUCAAUUGCAUGUUUGUGAAGAACAGAGCCCUGUAGGUGUGGCAGUAUGGCCUCUUUCUAGAGACAUACUUGACUGCUUAUUAAGUUGUGGGUUGUUUUUUGACAGAUAUAUUUUCUCACUUUCUUACAACAACUUAGUCUCCAGUUAUUGUACAAGUCUGGUGCGCAAGUGUUGUUUCGUUCCAUCUUCAGUUUGAUUGU